GUCUACGGCCAUAUCACUCUUAAUGCACUUGAUCUUGUCUGAUCUAGGAGGCUAAAUAGAAUUGUGCAUGGUUAUUACUUGAUGGAAAAUCACAUAGGAAUACUAACUGCUAUAGACU
rnacentral:rRNA from 1 species